rnacentral:rRNA from 1 species
GAAACAAUAGCUAAUACCGGAUAUAGUUAUUUAUCGCAUGAUGAGUAAUAGAAAGGAGCUUCACAGCUUCACUUAAAAAUGGGGGUGCGGAACAUUAGUUAGUUGGUAGGGUAAUGGCCUACCAAGACGAUGAUGUUUAGCCGGGCCGAGAGGCUGUACGGCCACACUGGGACUGAGAUACGGCCCAGACUCCUACGGGAGGCAGCAGUAAGGAAUUUUCCACAAUGAGCGAAAGCUUGAUGGAGCGACACAGCGUGCAGGAUGAAGUUCUUCGGAAUGUAAACUGCUGUUAUAAGGGAAGAAAAAAUAGAAUAGGAAAUGAUUUUAUCUUGACGGUACCUUAUUAGAAAGCGACGGCAAACUAUGUGCCAGCAGCCGCGGUAAUACAUAGGUCGCAAGCGUUAUCCGGAAUUAUUGGGCGUAAAGCGUCCGUAGGUUUUUUGCUAAGUCUGGAGUUAAAUGCUGAAGCUCAACUUCAGUCCGCUUUGGAUACUGGCAAAAUAGAAUUAUAAAGAGGUUAGCGGAAUUCCUAGUGAAGCGGUGGAAUGCGUAGAUAUUAGGAAGAACACCAAUAGGCGAAGGCAGCUAACUGGUUAUAUAUUGACACUAAGGGACGAAAGCGUGGGGAGCAAACAGGAUUAGAUACCCUGGUAGUCCACGCCGUAAACGAUGAUCAUUAGUUGGUGGAAUAAUUUCACUAACGCAGCUAACGCGUUAAAUGAUCCGCCUGAAUAGUAUGCUCGCAAGAGUGAAACUUAAAGGAAUUGACGGGAACCCGCACAAGCGGUGGAGCAUGUGGUUUAAUUUGAAGAUACGCGUAGAACCUUACCCACUCUUGACAUCUUCUGCAAAGCUAUAGAGAUAUAGUGGAGGUUAACAGAAUGACAGAUGGUGCAUGGUUGUCGUCAGCUCGUGUCGUGAGAUGUUAGGUUAAGUCCUGCAACGAGCGCAACCCUUUUCUUUAGUUACUAAUAUUAAGUUAAGGACUCUAGAGAUACUGCCUGGGUAACCAGGAGGAAGGUGGGGACGACGUCAAAUCAUCAUGCCUCUUACGAGUGGGGCAACACACGUGCUACAAUGGUCGGUACAAAGAGAAGCAAUAUGGUGACAUGGAGCAAAUCUCAAAAAACCGAUCUCAGUUCGGAUUGAAGUCUGCAACUCGACUUCAUGAAGUCGGAAUCGCUAGUAAUCGUAGAUCAGCUACGCUACGGUGAAUACGUUCUCGGGUUUUGUACACACCGCCCGUCGCACCAUGGGAGUUGGUAAUGCCCAAAGUCGGUGAGUUAACUUCGGAGACCAUUGCCUAAGGCAGGACUGAUGACUGGGGUGAAGUCGUAACAAGGUAU